UACAGGGGGUGCAAACGUUGCUCGGAAUUAUUGGGCGUAAAGCGCGCGUAGGCGGCCACUUAAGUCGGAUGUGAAAGCCCCUGGCUCAACUGGGGAAGUGCACCCGAAACUGAGCGGCUUGAAUGCAAAAGAGGGUCGCGGAAUUCCCGGUGUAGAGGUGAAAUUCGUAGAUAUCGGGAGGAGCACCGGUGGCGAAGGCGGCGACCUGGGUUGACAUUGACGCUGAGGCGCGAAAGCGUGGGGAGCAAACAGG
rnacentral:rRNA from 1 species